GAUGAACGCUGGCGGCGUGCCUAAUACAUGCAAGUCGAGCGAACAGAUAAGGAGCUUGCUCCUUUGACGUUAGCGGCGGACGGGUGAGUAACACGUGGGUAACCUACCUAUAAGACUGGGAUAACUUCGGGAAACCGGAGCUAAUACCGGAUAACAUUUGGAACCGCAUGGUUCUAAAGUGAAAGAUGGUUUUGCUAUCACUUAUAGAUGGACCCGCGCCGUAUUAGCUAGUUGGUAAGGUAACGGCUUACCAAGGCAACGAUACGUAGCCGACCUGGGAGGGUGAUCGGCCACACUGGAGCUGAGACACGGUCCAGACUCCUACGGGAGGCAGCAGUAGGGAAUCUUCCGCAAUGGGCGAAAGCCUGACGGAGCAACGCCGCGUGAGUGAUGAAGGGUUUCGGCUCGUAAAACUCUGUUAUUAGGGAAGAACAAAUGUGUAAGUAACUAUGCACAUCUUGACGGUACCUAAUCAGAAAGCCACGGCUAACUACGUGCCAGCAGCCGCCGUAA
rnacentral:rRNA from 1 species